CCUUCGAUAGCUCAGUUGGUAGAGCGGUGGACUGUAGUUGCUUGACUGCUUACGCAAAAAUAAGAGACAUCCAUAGGUCGCUGGUUCAAAUCCGGCUCGAAGGA
rnacentral:tRNA from 1 species